rnacentral:lncRNA from 1 species
GGAUUCCAGGGCUGCUCAGGAGACGCCUCCAUCCUGGCGUGGAUGACCUCAGGAUCAGCCCCGUCUGCCCCACUCAGCCCGCAGCCUGGUCCCCGAAAGCGCUCAGUCAGAAUCCGAGAGCACUGUGGCGGCGCCCCCGUGUGGCCACAGGACUGAAGACAGAGGACCCCGCUCCCCUUUCUCCCCAGCCAGGACGUCCCAGGCUCUCCCCCUGUUCCCCGCACCUGGACGGGACUCUGCACAGAAGAGAGUCUCCCGGUCUCGUGUCAGGCUCUGAGUUCAUCCAGCUUCCCAAAAUCCAUGUUGAUAUGAACGUUUUCUCCCACAACUGAUUGACUGGACUUUUGUCUCAGGGCAGAGGGAGGCCUCCAGACCAAAACAGCAGGAUCAGGUCUGGAGCUGACUCAACCCCAAACCCUUGCUAAUGCACGACCCAGUCCCCCAGCCUCCAGGAUGGGACCUUGGCCUCCUGUCCCCUCCCUUGUUCCUGCCACUGCUCCUGCAGGUGGAGGCUGCUCAUCCCAGGAAUCAGUCUGUGAGCUCCAACCUUGGGGCCUCGGUCCAGGAAGGAGGGAGGCUCCAGAGAGCAGAAGGGAGAUGAAAUGGAUCAUAAGAGAAGAAGGAAUCAUACCAAACACUGGAACUGACCUUUGUGAUGCUCAGGAAUGUCCUGAUGUCAGCGGAGAUGAAGGAAAACCAGAGAUUCAAAAGUCAAAGGAAAGGGCCAUUUACCAUAAUUCAUAUCAUACAUAUUUCCUGGAAAAAAAAAGAAAAAUUCCUUGGGGAAAAAGCAUCAAAAUCAUCAGGAAGUCUUCCACACAGAAAUGACUUCAUUAAUUUGAUCUCUGUCAUUCUUUCUUUUCAUUCAUGUAUUAUUAUCCAUAGAGAUUUCUAUCCUGUGGGUUUUUUAUUUAAUUUUUGUUUGUUUGGUUUUUUCAGACACAGUGAGACCCUGUCUCAAACAAACAAACGUCACAGGCUGCAGUGCAGUGGCACAAUCAUUGCUCACUGCAGCCUCGACCUCCCUGUCUGAAGCAAUCCUCCAGCCUCAGCCUCAUGAGUAGCUGAAACUACAGGAACAUGCCACCAUGCCCAACUAAUUUUUUAAAAAAUUUUUUUGUAGAGAUGAGGUAUCACUAUGUUGCCGAGGCUGGUCUCAAACUCCUGGGUUCAAACAAUUCACCCACCUUGGCUCCCCAGAAUGCUGGGAUUACAGGCCUGAGCCACGUACCCAGCCUCUAUCCCAUGUUUUGAUUCAUCAUCAUCUCCUAAGCCCUUUCCCAGCAUCGAUAGUCUACUAAACAUGCCAUGAUUAAAUUAUAUCUCUAUACCUUGAUAUAAACAAAAAAUUAUAUGAGCAGUAAAGACAAAUAUGAAAAAGUAAAAUUACUGCCAAAGUUAUUAGGAGGAUAACCUAAAUUAUUUGGGUAGGAAAAUCUUUCUUUUUUAUUUUAUUUUUUUUUCCAGCCAGGGUCUCAUUCUGUCACUCAGGCUAAAUUACAGUGGCCCGAUCAUGGCUCACUGCAGCCUUGACCUCCCAAGAUUCAGGUGAUCCUCUUGCCUCAGCCCCCUGAGUAGCUGAGACAACAGGCAUGUGAGACAAUGCCUGGCUCCUUUUUAUAUUUUUAGUAGAGAUGGGGUUUUGCCAUGUUACCCAGGCUGGUCUCAAACUUCUAGGCUCAAACGAUCCACCCACCUCAGCCUCCCAAAGUGCUGGUAUUACAGGCAUGAGGCACUGUGCCAGCCUUUUUUUUUUUUCACAUCUGCUGGAAUGGAAAAUAUUUCUUAAAUGAGACACAAAUGUAUCAAAUUGAAAAUGUUUAAACUUCAAAGGACUUACAUACAUAUACAGUCAUUCUUCGCUCAAUGGUGAGAUAGCUUCUGAGAAAUGAGUCCUUAGGUGAUUUUGUCAUGUGUGGACAUCAUAGAGUGUCCUUACAUGAACCUAGAUGGUAUAACCUACUUCACACUUAGGCUACGUGAUAAGCCCAUUGCUUCUAGGCUACAAAUUAUAUAGCAUGUUACCGUAUGGAACAUUGCAGCCAAUUCUAACACAAUGGUAAGUAUUUGUGGAUCUAAGCAUGUGUAAACAGAGAAAAGGUACAGUAAAAAUGUGAUUAACAAAAAGAUCUUUAAAAUGG